rnacentral:misc_RNA from 1 species
UGCGAAAGCAGUUGAAGACAAGUGCUUGUCGUUCGUUAAAAUGGCCUCGUCGGAUUUGGUGGAAGGAAACUCAAAGAGUGC